rnacentral:rRNA from 1 species
UACGAAGGGUGCAAGCGUUACUCGGAAUUACUGGGCGUAAAGCGUGCGUAGGUGGUUCGUUAAGUCUGUCGUGAAAGCCCCGGGCUCAACCUGGGAAUGGCGAUGGAUACUGGCGGGCUAGAGUGCGGUAGAGGAGAGUGGAAUUCCCGGUGUAGCAGUGAAAUGCGUAGAGAUCGGGAGGAACAUCAGUUGCGAAGGCGGCUCUCUGGACCAGCACUGACGUUCAGGCACGAAAGCGUGGGGAGCAAACAGG